rnacentral:rRNA from 1 species
UACCAGCUCUCCGAGUGGUAGGGAUGAUUAUUGGGCUUAAAGCGUCCGUAGCUGGCUUAGUAAGUCUCCUGUUAAAUUCAGCGACCUAAUCGUUGAGCCGCGGGAGAUACUACUAGGCUAGGAGGCGGGAGAGGUCAACGGUACUUCCGGGGUAGGGGUGAAACCCUAUAAUCCCGGGAGGACCACCAGUGGCGAAGGCUGUUGACUAGAACGCGCUCGACGGUGAGGGACGAAAGCUGGGGGAGCGAACCGGAUUAGAUACCCGGGUAGUCCCAGCUGUAAACGAUGCGAGCUAGGUGUUGGGGUGGCUACGUGCCACUUCAGUGCCGCAGGGAAGCCAUUAAGCUCGCCGCCUGGGGAGUACGGCCGCAAGGCUGAAACUCAAAGGAAUUGGCGGGGGAGCACCACAAAACGUGAAGCUUGCGGUUC